UCUGGGACAUCAAUCUCCUGGCACUUCUAAAACUCUGAGAUAGCAAUAAAUGUGAGCAGCUUUACUAACAUACCAUCCCUGAUCCAGUCCCAGCAAUGUCCUGAGAGAGUGUCCCUUGCUUCACUUGUAGUUCUGCAUCUGCACUUCUGAGAGCCUGUAGAUCAUCACAGUCUAGAUGUGGGAUUCCUGAACAUCUCUCCAGAACUGUAUAAAUGAACAAUACAGUAUUUCAGUCUUUACUCAGACAUAACUGCAGGUUUCCCUCUGCCUCUUUUGCUUUGUAGGCUAAGAUAGAAUCACUCGGUAUUAGAACUGCUCCCAUUUAGCUAAAUUCUCUGUAGACAGUUGCCCGUUACUUAAUCAAGGGAAAAAUAUGUCCCAGCUUCAGAUGAGUUCCAAGUCACAGAAGCAGCUUACAAAACUGGCUACUAUUUCCGGUGGCUCUGGGAAACAGCACAAGAACUCUGCUGCAAUGGAUUCUUUUGGCUACAUGGUGAGUUCAGAUUGUUGUUCACAGUUGUGAAGCUGACUAAGCCUUCUCUCUGGCAUCAAAAGAAUGAAAAUGAGCUCUCUGCUGGACUCACUGAGGAGUUCUGUUAAGAACAGUUGUACUGUUUUAAAAACCAGUAACUCAGCUAGAAUGCUCAGGACACAGACUCUCUUGGGCUUCCUGCUGAAUAAAUCUACUGAAAAAUAAGAUGCUUUAUUGACUUGUUUAAAGCCAAGCAAAGGGACACUGUAGUUACAUCUGCUAUCUAAGGUUUAUGACAUAGCUCACUGGUUUCAUUCUUCUGUUAUAGCACAUCUGCCUGUUCCUCUAGCCUGGGGUCUUCUAGGAGAUGGUGCUUUUUCUGCUAGGCCUGUCUGACACUGUGUAGGCAAUGCAAUGCCUUACUAAAAGUAUCUGUGUGAGUUAUGUAAGAGAAAAGUUCAUCAUACUGUACAAUUUAAAUUCAGUAAAGUGGUUUUUUCCUCCAGUUCCUGUGGCUCCAUGAACCAUUCAGACCACAUGUUUACCUUCACGUUUAAGAGGAGCUGAAUGUCCCAAAGUGCUGUCUGGAGAUGUGCAGUUCUAAAGCAAAUUUCUUAUUUUGGAUGUUGUUUUAUCUUGUAUUUGGUGCCUUAACUCUCUACAAUCUAUGGUUGUAUAUACUGUGCCACAGGUAGUUUAAUAGUUGCGUGCUUUAAAAGAACCCCUCAAGCCUAGUCUACAGGAACUGUGCAAAGACUGAAGCCUUCUCAGUGGGAGAGUUCUCUGCCACAUUUAAUUAAUAAUCCAUUGAUAAACAAGUUGCAAGAACCACAGAUUGAGGCUAUUUAUCUGAUUUCCAACUUUAAGGGUUUGUGGCAAUAAGAUAAUUAAAGGUGCAGUGUAAGUAAACACCACCAAAAUGUUUUAUAGCAAGCCAGAAGUGCAUGUUUGUGAAACUCUCUGGACUCUUAUCUCUACUAGAACAAAUUACACUAGUACUAAAAGGCAUUAAUUGAAUGCAAUUGUCUUUCAUUCACUGGUACAAGGGAGUUGCAAUGAGUAAGAGUUGCAAUUAGUUUUUAAUUCCAAAACAGCACAUGGAUUUAAGCCUCAUUCCUGCCUCUUACCUGGAUCUAGAAGCUCCAGGUGCCUUACGCUGCUUUGCAGUUCACGAGGUGUAGCGCAGCAUCUGCCUGAACACACGCCUGUGAACACAUCUGGUGCUGGUAGAAUGGACUGAGGCAAGAGAGAGAGAGAAAAGAAAACAAAUUAAGCUAGAAUGCCCUCUCCAGUCUUAAAAGUUGAGCAUCAGAGACAGGAAGUUGGAGGGAAAGUUGCACUGCCUUUUCCAAGUCCAUUAUUAGAGUCUGUGGAAAAAACAGGAGAUUUCUGUCUACUGUGGCAAACCAGCAGCCUCAGUACACUAAAAACAGGGGGUGAUGGUAUUGUUUUUCACUAGUUUAUAAGAAAUUAGACAAGAGCCCUGAGCUAUCUAUAGAGGAGGCUCAGAGCUGCAAGUGAUGUUGCUACAGGCGAUUUUUUUUCUCCUGUUCAGUAAACAAGUCCAGGAUGGAAGCUUUUCCAGAGGAGGAAGAGAAAUCCUGUGAACAACUUCUAUUUCCUGAUGCAGCCCUGUCCAAAGCAGGGAGACUGCUCCAGGCAGUGUAUGUAGCAUGCAACUGAAUUUUGGGAGGGAAAGGAAUAAUAGUAAUUUCCUCUAAAGGAGUACUAGUAACUUAUUUUUUCUACAAUGUCCACAGUAUUCUAGACAACUUGGUUUUACACAGAACAGCACAGCAACAAGGGAAAGCAGAUACUGCUUCCACAACUACUUGUUGUAAUGUACAUACUUCAGGUCACCAAUACUGAUGUAACUAGUUAUGACGAAGAAGGUUCAUCUUUCCAGGAAAGCAUAUUUUGACAUUCUAUCCACUUCUAUUUUUAAGCUAGAGGGGAGUUAAUUCUAGCACUCAUCUGUUUCGAAGGGAGUAGAGCAGAAGGUAAGUUUUAACUUCAUACUUUGAAGCUGCUAUGAAUAAGUUCUUUAACAGUGUUCCAUGGGAACAACCUGAUGUACUUCUUUAUUUUCUUUGUGUUCGUUUCCACAUUCUUAGAAAAGCACAAGCUUGUGUAAGCGUAAUCAAUACAAAGUUACUCAGGGUACUGUGUCAUCUCAGCAGUGGACACGAACUGCAUCUUAAGUCAACAGGCACAUAUAAAUCAAGCUUAAAUUAAGAGGAACAGACCAUCUUGGCAGGUUUUGCUUUACUACUGGCACUGUUACUAUUUAAUGAUCUAUGCAUACGGCAAUAUGUGUAUUGCUGCACUCCCAACAGAACUUGUAGUUCUGUAUGGGCAUCCUGUAAACUCACAAAGUAAAAUGUAGUCAGUGUAGGGGAGAGAGUAUUCUUUCGUUAUUUUCACAGAGAACUGUUUACAAGCAGACAGAAAGUGAUACUGCUCAGAGCAGAAAAAUGGUGGGCUGAAGAACAUUCAGAGCAGUACAGCUGUUGAAAAGUUAGUGAUUCUAACUAUAUUUUCCUUAGUUAUGAAAAUUCUGAUUUGCUGUACAGAUUAUUUCCUGUGUUUUCAAACUAGUAUCACUGCUUCCCUGCUCAAAAUAACAAGAUAAAGACCAGUGUAGCUUUCUAGUAACAUCUAUUGCAUGGAAAUAUACUGGAAGAAAACAAGAGGCUGUACUGCAGAGAGCACAUUCAACUACAGAGCCAUUCUCUGGGCAAUGCUGCAUAAUUCAAGAGUGGGUAAAUCUGCCUUCAGGGACAACACAACACAUAACAGAUGUUACAAAAAAAUCAACACAGAAAAAAGCCUCGAAGCUUUGUCCAGUCAUACAUUUAUUCUUCCCUGAAAAAGGGACAAGUACACUCAUAUGUGCUUAGUGAGUUAUACAUCAGACAUCACAAUGGUCCUUAAGGACACGUUUUAAAGCUAGUCUCCUUUUGGACAGAAAAGGGAGGAAGUUGACUCUGUCUUCCAGUUCCAAAGUGCAGUGUCUUAUUUCUCAUCCUAACCCUAAAUCAAUAUUUAUUGAUCAUAAUGACUAAGCUUUUUAGGUCGAGAAGCUCUCCACAAAGCAAUUCUGUUCUCUCAAGCCUCUGCAGGGGCCAGCAACUGGUGCUUAACUACUACUUCCACUCGAGAAUGUCACCUGUCCUCCAGGUCUCCCAGAGCCAUUCUGGGCCACCUGCACUUCUAAGAGAGCAACGCUGCUGGGGGGGGACUGCCAAAAGCACUGAAACACUACAGCAAAGUCCCAGCAGGCUGUAUGCUCUUAAAGUCCUGUCCAGUUCUUACUGACAAAGUUGAGCAUGAAACCUGUACUGCCAAAUGUACCAGCCCCUUAAUAAGAAGGAAAUCUAUGGGAAGCAGUCUUGGAAGUGGAGAUUUUGAGGAAAGGCUGGUAUUUUCCAGGUCCAACUCAAAUAUUUUUCUUUUUUAAAUGGUUGAGCUUCCACUCACCAAAAAUCACCAUCAGUCAAAUUAAUUAAAACUGUUCCUGCUAAUCUGAGCUAAAACAUUCCUCUCUGUAACCCAAACCACCACCACCCAUCCAUCUAAAGAAUUCUCAAGCAAAGAAUCCUCAGGAGGCAGAGCCCUCCUGAGUCUGCACACUAGGAAGCAGACAAGCAAUGUGGCAGUGCAGUAUAAUGUGACUUUUCUGAUGACAGUUAAUUCUCAAGACAAGGAAAAGACAGAGGCAGUGCUUUGGGGCAGUGUUUCAUGCUCAGCAAGUUUGCGGAGGGAAAGAAUGCAAUUCUAUAAAUCACUUGUACUGUAUUUCUGUUUCUAGACUUGAAUGAAUUUCACUUUUCCUUUGUGGGUCAGUGUAGUAAACGUUAAAGAAAAGGUCUAUUUUUCUAAAUCUCUCUCACCAAUAGGGGUCUGACCUGUAGCCAACAGAUGGAUGUAUUUAUCCACAGAGGACAGAGUGUUUAUUUUUACACUAAGAUUGGAUAUGGCAUUGAAUAAAAAGAAGUACGACCUUUGAACUAUCUAAAUCUUAAAUACUAUGAACAAAUUCCACAAAUGAGUAAUAUGGUGGACAAUUCCAUCUUUCUUCCCAAUAAAUCUCUCUCUCAAAAGAAGUUACCUAGAAUUAAACUUCCAAAUGAAGUACCACAGAUCCCUGUGGUCUCAUUUCAGACUACUUUCAAAAUAUUUUAAGAUUUCUCCCGAUUUUUAAUGUGUAGAGAACAAAAAUGUUUAAACUAUUCCCGACUAUAAAUAAAGCAACUUCAAAUAAAGUAAUUUGGCAACAACUGUGGCUAUUUAUAGCAUCAAAAAUGUAAUCAGAACAUACAAAUUGUCUUAAUUUGGUAGCAGUUGAGUGGGAGGAAAAAUAACUGCACACUGAGUUUUAAAUGGAGCUGUAUCUACCCACUAGCCAAAAAAGCCUGCAAAUGUAAAGUAAAUGGAACGCUCUUUGUACAUGAAGUUGCUUCCUCACGUGAUGCUGUACCCUGUACACUCGGCUUCAUUUGGCUUCUGUGUUGUGGUUUGUAUGCCAGCCACUGUUAUUAACUGUACACAACACUUAGAUCUGCACUGUAAUCUUGGUUCAUUUGCCACUGAUUGUAACCCAAUGCUACAGAUUUCUCUGUAUAUAAAACCGUAACCAUGUCCCAUUUGCUUCCAAGAGCAUACAAUAAAGGCAUCUCUCUGUAAACAGGAA
ensembl:lncRNA